AUAAAACACGAAAUAAAAUAUAGAUUUAUAGAAUAUUUACAUCUAAAUAUCUGUUUUGUUCUAAUAAUGUGACUUUUAUUAUUUAAAUCUUGUUAAUACAGAAAAUGUCAAUGAACUUCUGUUACCAUCAUGCUUGUUAAAAUCUUUGAUAACCUUGUAUUUGUUUUUAAUGAUAAAUCUAUAACAAACAAACCAUCUUCAUGAUUGUUUAAUUAAGUUCCUUCUGCUGUCGAGAAGAAAAAGAUAGAUUGCCAGCAGAUGUCACGAAUUUGUCACGAAGAGUGUAGGUGUGGCUAUUUUCUCACGAACGAUAUUUUAUAUUAUUUUCAUUUAUAUAGUAUGUUUGCAUAAGAAAAAUGUGAUAAAAACGCAAAAGUUUAAUGAGUUAAUAAAGUAUAGUAAAUCUUUUAAUGCCGUAAUAGUUUGCAUUAACAUUGGUGCAAUUUUCGUAAUCUAUGAAUGUUUGUAAAAUUCGAGAAACAAUGAAAAAUAUAUUGCUAAAUUAACUGAAAAUUUGUUUAUAAUAAUUUUGAGUUGAUAAAUAUCCGAAUCGAACUUUGAAGUGAUGCGAUACUGAGGUGAGCCAAAAGUCACUGUGCAACUGACGUGCUGUUAAUAAUAAAUAAGAAUAAUAAAAUCAUACAGCGUAUUUAGAAAAGACAUGUGGUUGCCACGUUCAUCCAAUCUCACAUCUCCAAAUUAUUAUCUGUGGUCUUUAUCGAAAAACUCUGUUUACAAGAACAAUCCCCAAUCUCGACCACAACUACAGGGAAUUAUAAUUCUAUUUAUCAACAAUAUUUCUCCGACACGUGUCUUUGCAGACAUGUUCCAUCAUGUGGAUGCAUGUCCACACAACGAGAGAAGACUGUUUCCAGCAUUUAUUUAGAAAGUACGUUUGUAGUAGUUGUAUUGUCUUGGCAGGUGCAUUGUGACUACACCUGCCAAGACAGUACAAAUGUUAACAAUACAAAUUAUUAUAUCUGAAUGCUUUCCUUAAUUUUAAUGACUUUCUAAUCCUCAUAUAUAUA
rnacentral:lncRNA from 1 species